rnacentral:rRNA from 1 species
UUCACCAUCUUCACAAAGGCCCUCAACCGAGCGCGCUUGGCGAACUUCUUCUCUGACAACUCCUUUGUGACCUUGCGGGGGUAGGCACUGAUGCCUGCCACCAAUGCAUGGCCAUAAGCACGCCCCUGUGUGCCGUCAUCAAAAUUCUUCACAAUAACUGCCUUCUUCCCUGCAUAGCGGCCCUGCAGGAGAACCACUACCUUGCUGGGCUUCAGGAACUUAACCAUCUUUCCCAGCCAGAGCAGGUGCCACGACCGUCAGAUGUGAAAUCCCCGGGCUCAACCUGGGAACUGCAUCUGAUACUGGCAAGCUUGAGUCUCGUAGAGGGGGGUAGAAUUCCAGGUGUAGCGGUGAAAUGCGUAGAGAUCUGGAGGAAUACCGGUGGCGAAGGCGGCCCCCSUGGACGAAGACUGACGCUCAGGUGCGAAAGCGUGGGGAGCAAACAGGAUUAGAUACCCUGGUAGUCCACGCCGUAAACGAUGUCGACUUGGAGGUUGUGCCCUUGAGGCGUGGCUUCCGGAGCUAACGCGUUAAGUCGACCGCCUGGGGAGUACGGCCGCAAGGUUAAAACUCAAAUGAAUUGACGGGGGCCCGCACAAGCGGUGGAGCAUGUGGUUUAAUUCGAUGCAACGCGAAGAACCUUACCUGGUCUUGACAUCCACGGAAGUUUUUCAGAGAUGAGAAUGUGCCUUCGGGAACCGUGAGACAGGUGCUGCAUGGCUGUCGUCAGCUCGUGUUGUGAAAUGUUGGGUUAAGUCCCGCAACGAGCGCAACCCUUAUCCUUUUGUUGCCAGCGGUCCGGCCGGGAACUCAAAGGAGACUGUUAGUGAUAAACUGGAGGAAGGUGGGGAUGACGUCAAGUCAUCAUGGCCCUUACGACCAGGGCUACACACGUGCUACAAUGGCGCAUACAAAGAGAAGCGACCUCGCGAGAGCAAGCGGACCUCAUAAAGUGCGUCGUAGUCCGGAUUGGAGUCUGCAACUCGACUCCAUGAAGUCGGAAUCGCUAGUAAUCGUGGAUCAGAAUGCCACGGUGAAUACGUUCCCGGGCCUUGUACACACCGCCCGUCACACCAUGGGAGUGGGUUGCAAAAGAGUAGGUAGCUUAACCUUCGGGAGGGCGCUUACCACUUUGUGAUUCAUGACUGGGUGAAGUCGUAACAAGGUAACCGUAGGGAACCUGCGGUUG